rnacentral:tRNA from 1 species
GCAUCCUUAGCUCAGUUGGUAGAGCAUCUGACUCUUAAUCAGCAGGUCGCGGGUUCGAAUCCCGCAGGAUGCACGA